UACGAAGGGGGCUAGCGUUGCUCGGAAUGACUGGGCGUAAAGGGCGCGUAGGCGGAUGGUACAGUCAGGUGUGAAAUUCCUGGGCUUAACCUGGGGGCUGCAUUUGAUACGUGUUGUCUAGAGUGAGGAAGAGGGUCGUGGAAUUCCCAGUGUAGAGGUGAAAUUCGUAGAUAUUGGGAAGAACACCGGUGGCGAAGGCGGCGACCUGGUCCUUUACUGACGCUGAGGAGCGAAAGCGUGGGGAGCGAUCCGG
rnacentral:rRNA from 1 species